rnacentral:lncRNA from 1 species
CGCUGCCGAGGCUCGGGGCGCGCGCAGUUGGCGUCUGCCAGUGCCAAGACUGUGCCGCCCCCACAGCCGAGGCGCGAAAGGGGGACGCCCGGCCUCUGGGCCGCUGCCUUCGCUUUCUCUUCGUUGUUGCGAACGCCGUCCGCUCAGGAGGCGCCCCGCGACCGGCGCGAUGAGUGCCAACGAGGACCAGGAGAUGGAACUAGAAGCAUUACGCUCUAUUUAUGGAGGAGAUGAAAGUUUCCGGGAAUUAAGUCCAGUUUCUUUUCAACAUAGGGUGAAAAUGGUGAUCCCAAAGCCUUCUUAAUAGAGAUUUCCUGGACAGAAACAUAUCCCCAAACACCUCCAAUUCUAUCUAUGAACGCUUUUUUUAACAACACCAUAUCAUCAGCUGUAAAGCAGAGUAUAUUAGCCAAGCUACAGGAAGCAGCAGAAGCUAAUCUUGGAACCGCUAUGACCUAUACAUUGUUUGAAUAUGCCAAAGACAAUAAAGAGCAGUUCAUGGAGAAUCACAAUCCCAUCAAUUCCGCAACAUCGAUAAGCAAUAUCAUCUCAAUUGAAACUCCUAAUACAGCCCCAUCAAGUAAGAAAAAAGACAAGAAAGAACAACUUUCAAAAGCCCAGAAGCGUAAGCUGGCAGACAAAACAGAUCACAAAGGAGAACUUCCUCGAGGCUGGAACUGGGUUGAUGUUGUGAAGCAUUUAAGCAAAACUGGCUCUAAGGAUGAUGAGUAGCACUUGGAAUUUGAGACAAGGAAAGAGCAUUCUUUAAAGAGUAAAACUGGGUUCAAAAUCUUUCAUUACUAUUUUCUGGUAUUGAGGCAACUUUUUAUAAAACACAAUUUUUUGUAUGUUUCUUACAUUAAAAAGGUUGUAAGUUGAAAGUUCAUGAAGAGAUCUUGUUGUAUUAAAUUAUUUUCACAAACUUGCCUUAAUAAAAGGUGAAAAUGUUACUGUUUAGUAUACUUUAUGAAGCCCCUUGAGCUUUAUAAAUGGACAGGCAUGGGGAAUAAGAAUCAGUGUUAAUUUAAAUGAUCUUAUCCUGGUGGAUGUGCUAUUUUCUUAAAGGAGUAUGAAGCCCUUUUCAAACUAUCAUCCCAGUGGAGCGGAGUACUCAGUGAACAGU